rnacentral:lncRNA from 1 species
AUUAAUUAUAAAGCUUUAAAAAUAAUAUUGAAAUUAACAGUUUCAUCAAACAUUUUAUACUAUAAAUAAUCUAUAUGUAUAAAAAUGCAAUGUUUAGCUAUCUGCUUGUCUGUUCUCAUAGGCACUCACACCAUGUAACCUGUUGGUAUCAAAUCAUACAUGGAGACUUACUCAAUCCUAUGGGUAACAUAGAUUAUUUACAGUCCAAAUUGUCUCAGGGAGUGGGAUAUUUUGGGAUGCUGCAAAAAUACCUUCAUUUAAAGCUUUUGGAGUUACAUUCAAAUUUUGGAUAACAAUAAAAAACAAUAAAGCAUAUUCAUACUUAUUUAAGUAUUUUUCUCAAUAAUUUCAUUUUCAUAAAAUGAUUUUUGAUUAAAUGAGACUACUAAAUGAAGAACUGAGUAUUAAAGAUAUAAUUUAAAUUUGAAAAAUUAGGUAAAUUGAUAAUUGAAAAUGAUUUUAAGGUGAAUUUUACAUAAUGGGCAGAUGAAAAGACUUAGUGCACAUUUAAAGAUGUGUUUCAAACUGAUUAUAUGCUUAAAGUGUAGUGAAAUACAAAAAUUAUUAAUUUUGCAAUGCAAGAUUAGAG